rnacentral:rRNA from 1 species
AACGAACGCUGGUGGCAUGCCUAACACAUGCCAGUCGAACGAGACCUUCGGGUCUAGUGGCGCACGGGUGCGUAACGCGUGGGAACCUGCCCUUAGGUUCGGAAUAACUCCCCGAAAGGGGUGCUAAUACCGGAUAAUGUCUUCGGACCAAAGAUUUAUCGCCUUUGGAUGGGCCCGCGUUGGAUUAGCUAGUUGGUAGGGUAAAAGCCUACCAAGGCGACGAUCCAUAGCUGGUCUGAGAGGAUGAUCAGCCACACUGGGACUGAGACACGGCCCAGACUCCUACGGGAGGCAGCAGUGGGGAAUAUUGGACAAUGGGCGAAAGCCUGAUCCAGCAAUGCCGCGUGAGUGAUGAAGGCCUUAGGGUUGUAAAGCUCUUUUACCCGGGAUGAUAAUGACAGUACCGGGAGAAUAAGCUCCGGCUAACUCCGUG